AAGUCGUAACAAGGUUUCCGUAGGUGAACCUGCGGAAGGAUCAUUAACACAAUUUUGCUGUGAUAAAUCCGUUGAAUUCUCGAAUUCAAUGGUAUCCACCCCAUUAUUGACGAACUUUUCUAGAUGUUAAAACAUAGAGUUAGUCUUUAUGUUUUUAACAUUCUAAACCUUUUUCUAUAUCCACACAAAUUUAAACCCCUUUUACAACAUGUAUUAGACUGAAAUGAAAAUUUUCUAUCAAAAAAUUGAUAAAGACAACUUUUAACAACGGAUAUCUUGGCUCUC
rnacentral:misc_RNA from 1 species